GACGAACGCUGGCGGCGUGCUUAGCACAUGCAAGUCGAACGGAAAGGCCCUGCUUGCAGGGUACUCGAGUGGCGAACGGGUGAGUAACACGUGGGUGAUCUGCCCUGCACUUCGGGAUAAGCCUGGGAAACUGGGUCUAAUACCGGAUAGGAGCCAUUUUUAGUGUGAUGGUUGGAAAGUUUUUUCGGUGUAGGAUGAGCUCGCGGCCUAUCAGCUUGUUGGUGGGGUAAUGGCCUACCAAGGCGGCGACGGGUAGCCGGCCUGAGAGGGUGGACGGCCACAUUGGGACUGAGAUACGGCCCAGACGCCUACGGGAGGCAGCAGGGGGGAAUAUUGCACAAGGGGCGCCAGCCUGAUGCAGCGACGCCGCGGGGGGGAUGACGGCCUUCGGGUUGUAAACUCCUUUCGCUAGGGACGAAGCUUUUUGUGACGGUACCUAGAUAAGAAGCACCGGCUAACUACGUG
rnacentral:rRNA from 1 species